CUAUAACACAAGAGAUCCCCAGAGGAGCUCAUUACCUGGAAAGGGAACUUCACGGUGGUUUUUGGACAAACUCAGAUCAGCUAAUGAAAAGCGGAAGGAAGAGUCAGCCAGCCAAGAACAAGAAGACGGAGACAGAGCACCUGCAGGAGACGAUCCCUCACUGAAACCUCAAGUUGCUCCAAGGAAAGUAAGACAUGCCUGGCUUACCUGGAAGAGGCGUACCACCAGAGGAAGGCGUUCCCUCAGAAACAGGCUCAUCUGACUGUGCCCAUGACUCGACUUCAAAGGCUGCCUCCCUCCAGUCAGUGAAGCGUGCAAUCACAGUGCCUCGAAUUAUCCUGACUGAACCUUCAGCUUCUGGUAAAGACAGCAGCUUGGUGCUUCACGGGAUCCCUGACUCAGACUCAGAAGCCGGUGUCCUCCGCACUUCAUAAGUUGUUUGAAGCCUUUCUUGCCUUUCCCCGCCCUUCUGCUUUCCUAGGAAAAUGGCUUAAUAUUGUUGCCAUUUAUGUGUUUCCGUUGAUGGAAUCAGCUAAAGCUGAUACCAUAGGCAUGGUUAAAUAGGUUGUACUGAGGUUGUUUUCAAUAGAGUGGGAACAAAAGAAAGGUAUUUAGGUUUAGGUUGUCUUCUAUAUACAAAUACUAACUGACACGAGUUUAAAAUUGUAAAACUUGGAAUAAAACAAUCGAUCAAAUAAAGUUGUGGGCAUAUUGAAGUUUUUCAGUGUUUGGGCUAAGGAGAUGGCUCUGUGGGUAAAGUCUUUGUUGCUAUUCUGUCUGGACUCCACCCCCACAGUUACCUGGCAACAGCCAGGUAGGCCUGGUCCACUAUAAAAGGGGCUGCUUGCCUGCACUCUCCCUCUUGUCUCUCUUAACUGCUCUUACUCUCUUGCCUCUUGCCCCCUGCUCCCCACCCCUCUCCAUUCCUCCCCCCCUCUCCACUGUGGGGGUGGAGUCCAGACAGAAUACCAAUAGUCUUGCCUUCAAAUAUAAGAAUCUAAGUUCAAAUUUUCAGUACACAUGUAAAAGCUGGGUACCAUGACAUACACCUGUACCCUUCACACUAAGGACUUGGAGACAGAUGGAGCUCACUGGCCAACCAGCCAGCUCCAAACAGGCAGAGUCUCUGUGUCAAAGCGUGUACACACACACACACACACACACACACACACACACACACACACACUCACACACUUCCUAUUGUUUAUGUGUAUUUUAUUAAACACGAUAGUCCACAGCACUACAGUAACUAUGAUGAUGUCUUCACACAUUAUAUUCCACUGGGAAGAGUGAUGAAAAUGAUUGCAUAGAUUUUUUUUUUUACUUUAUUGUUUUGUGUUGCUAAGCCAAUUAUUUGCUUUAAGUACAAAUGCCUUGGUUCCUGAAGUUGUUUACUGCUCAUUGAAAUAGAGAAUGUUUUCAAUUUAAUAAAUAACUUCUUAUGUAUAUGCAUUUGUUUUGAGAAAGAGCAAAUGAUACCAAUUUGUUAUGUACCACUUUUCUUCUGAACAUUAUUAAUCCCCUCACGGAGGUAAUGAAUUUCUCUCAGAAAAUAUUCUUCUCUCAAGUAACUGCUAUCCUUCUUAAAAAUAUUUUUUAGCCAGUCUUUAUUUUUUUCAAGUUUAUUUUUCUCAAACAAGAAGUCUUGUCAUUGUUAAGAAAGAUAGAGCUGGCUUAAAGAUGUGAGAUCAUUUGGUAUCAUCAGUCUUAGCCCUUUGCUCCUGGUCACAGGACAGCUGCAGCCAGUUCAAGCAUUAUAUCUACUUUAAGAAAAGGAGAGACGGUCCCUUUACCUUGCAAUUUAGGAGAUGUAUAGGAACCUCUCCUUGGGAGAAUCUAUUACCUGAGGGCACACGCACCACAUCUUCUAUUUGCAGAAACAUCUUACUUUUCAGAGGUGUCCUUUAAAACAUGCAUCUUAAAUGAGUUAUCCACUGUUCACCAUGCUCCAGAUGAUGUUGAAGGAACGGAGACAAUAAAUAUGAAUGAAACAGA
rnacentral:lncRNA from 1 species